rnacentral:rRNA from 1 species
CCUACGGGAGGCAGCAGUGAGGAAUAUUGGUCAAUGGACGAGAGUCUGAACCAGCCAAGUAGCGUGAAGGAUGACUGCCCUAUGGGUUGUAAACUUCUUUUAUAUGGGAAUAAAACAGGGUAUGCAUACCCUCUUGUAUGUACCAUAUGAAUAAGGAUCGGCUAACUCCGUGCCAGCAGCCGCGGUAAUACGGAGGAUCCGAGCGUUAUCCGGAUUUAUUGGGUUUAAAGGGAGCGUAGGUGGAUUGUUAAGUCAGUUGUGAAAGUUUGCGGCUCAACCGUAAAAUUGCAGUUGAAACUGGCAGUCGUGAGUACAGUAGAGGUGAGCGGAAUGCGUGGUGUAGCGGUGAAAUGCUUAGAUAUCACGAAGAACUCCGAUUGCGAAGGCAGCUCACUGGACUGCAACUGACACUGAUGCUCGAAAGUGUGGGUAUCAAACAGGAUUAGAUACCCCAGUAGUC